rnacentral:rRNA from 1 species
GACGAACGCUGGCGGCGUGCUUAACACAUGCAAGUCGAACGAAGAGCGAUGGAAGCUUGCUUCUAUCAAUCUUAGUGGCGAACGGGUGAGUAACGCGUAAUCAACCUGCCCUUCAGAGGGGGACAACAGUUGGAAACGACUGCUAAUACCGCAUACGAUCUAAUCUCGGCAUCGAGGAUAGAUGAAAGGUGGCCUCUACAUGUAAGCUAUCACUGAAGGAGGGGAUUGCGUCUGAUUAGCUAGUUGGAGGGGUAACGGCCCACCAAGGCGAUGAUCAGUAGCCGGUCUGGGAGGAUGAACGGCCACAUUGGGACUGAGACACGGCCCAGACUCCUACGGGAGGCAGCAGUGGGGAAUCUUCCGCAAUGGACGAAAGUCUGACGGAGCAACGCCGCGUGAGUGAUGACGGCCUUCGGGUUGUAAAGCUCUGUUAAUCGGGACGAAAGGCCUUCUUGCGAAUAGCGAGAAGGAUUGACGGUACCGGAAUAGAAAGCCACGGCUAACUACGUG